GGGGAUUUAGCUCAGUGGUAGAGCGCUUGCCUGGGAAGCGCAAGGCCCUGGGUUCGGUCCCCAGAACCACAA
rfam:Rattus norvegicus chromosome 5, whole genome shotgun sequence.